rnacentral:rRNA from 1 species
GACGAACGCUGGCGGCGUGCCUAACACAUGCAAGUCGAACGGAGCACUUCGGUGCUUAGUGGCGAACGGGUGAGUAACGCGUGAGAAACCUGCCUUUCAGUGGGGGACAACAGUUGGAAACGACUGCUAAUACCGCAUAAUGUUAUUUGGGGGCAUCCCCGAAUAACCAAAGCUUUAUGUGCUGAAAGAUGGUCUCGCGUCUGAUUAGCUAGAUGGCGGGGUAACGGCCCACCAUGGCGACGAUCAGUAGCCGGUCUGAGAGGAUGAACGGCCACAUUGGGACUGAGAUACGGCCCAG